rnacentral:hammerhead_ribozyme from 1 species
GUACUGAUGAAGAGUCCCAAACUAGAACGAAACAGCUGGCUGUCCAGUAC